GACGGACGCUGGCGGCGUGCUUAACACAUGCAAGUCGAACGGAAAGGCCCUGCUUGCAGGGUACUCGAGUGGCGAACGGGUGAGUAACACGUGGGUGAUCUGCCCUGCACUUCGGGAUAAGCCUGGGAAACUGGGUCUAAUACCGGAUAGGAGCCAUUUUUAGUGUGAUGGUUGGAAAGUUUUUUCGGUGUAGGAUGAGCUCGCGGCCUAUCAGCUUGUUGGUGGGGUAAUGGCCUACCAAGGCGGCGACGGGUAGCCGGCCUGAGAGGGUGGACGGCCACAUUGGGACUGAGAUACGGCCCAGACUCCUACGGGAGGCAGCAGUGGGGAAUAUUGCACAAUGGGCGCAAGCCUGAUGCAGCGACGCCGCGUGGGGGAUGACGGCCUUCGGGUUGGAAACUCCUUUCGCUAGGGACGAAGCUUUUUGUGACGGUACCUAGAUAAGAAGCACCGGCUAACUACGUG
rnacentral:rRNA from 1 species